UUUGAUAAAACCCUUUCUUUCUCAAUUGACCGCCAAUUCCAUUGUUCCCUUACGCAUCUCUUCUUUUCCUCCAUCUUUCUUAACCUAAUUAAUAUCGAUACCGUUUCACAAUCAUCUCUUCAACUUCAUAUGGAAACCACAAUCAAUCAUCAAUCAGCUGAUUAUACGAAACGCGAAUUGGCUUCACCGUUUCCUUUCUUGAUUAUAAAACCCUAGAUGUAAAUCCAGAAUCUUCAUUCACGGAUAUAACAAGGAGGCUAUACUCUCCAACAUUCAUAUUGUGGAAGAUCUUCUUCAAUCGGUAAAAUAGAUAUUUCUAAAUGGCAAAAUAUUGAUGCCAGAUCACUGGGAAUAACCUAAGUAAUUGUGCCUUCUUCCUAUACGCUUCUAAAGAUUCUCGAAAGCGGAGGCUACAUUUUUUUAUUACAACCAAGAAAACUGAACUGAACACCCUGAUGACUAUUCCCAUUGUGUUUGUGACGGCCAUAGUAAGCAAGAUGAUGAGUGAUUGA
rnacentral:lncRNA from 1 species